rnacentral:lncRNA from 1 species
UUUCGCAAUAUGCUGAUCAGGUGGGAAGGCAGAUCUACGGAAAGGUGUGGUUAGGUGGAGCAUGUAAAAGGAAAGGAGAUUAAACGGUGUGUGUACACUGUGUAAGAGAGAACGCGAACCAGAAAAAUAGGCAGAAAGUCAUGGACACAGCAAGAAGACACAACAUUAAAAACAGCAGCACUAUGGACUUUGGAUUUUUCACAGAUGAAAAGUUGUUUGACUUUUUCUGCCAAAGCAAGACAAAGAUGUCUACAAUAGAAGAGCCAUUGAUGUUUCUCCGACAUCUCAAGGACAAUAGACUCAUUACAGAUGAGCUUUAUCUCUGAAGAGUCAGCCAAAGAAAAAAAUAAGAGAAAGAGUUGAGGAUCGAGGCACAGGAAAAGAAAGAGAGGUUAAAAAGAGAAGGACAGAGAGCAACUCUGUGAGUGACCAAGCUGGACCAUCAUCACAAAGCAUUAGCAGCCAGAGGACGACAGAUACACACGUGGAGAGAGGUGAGUUCUAAGUCAGAUAAUUGAUUGACCAGCCUGAUUUUUUGUCUGUCUGUCUAAAUAAUUACAUUAAGUUCUGAAACCAUUCUGUUUUGUAUUUCGAAAAAUUCUCCAGAUUUUCAGAGCUCUUCAGACUCCAGCACAGAAGCAGGUUGCUAUUCAUUUUUGGACAAACUCCUUUUGGCGUGAAAACACAUUUGCUGGACACUUUAUGUGCAUUCCCUCCAUUAUAUUUAUAACAAAAAUGAAACAUGUAAAACAACUUGUUCAUUUUAAUUAAAUGCGUUUUACCCUCUUCUCCCUAAGAGGAUCUCUGGAACAUGGAUAAACACAAGACAAUGCUUCCUGUCACAUGUGGGAAUAAAAAGGCCUUAUUGGACAGAAAAGCAUUGUAUAAAAGAAAGAGGGACUGCAUUAAAUGUGGCAGAGAAAUGAUCUCCCCUUAUAUGUUUGAGGAAAUGGGUGGAAAAGAAUCAUGCAAGUCCUGGAAAACAAGUAUAUUAUGCCAAGGCACAACCCUCAAGAGUCUCAUUGAGGUGAGAACAGGAAGAGUUGAU